rnacentral:rRNA from 1 species
GGAUUACGAGCCCAAGCUUAAAACCCAAAGGACUUGACGGUUUCCCAUCCCCCUAGAGGAGCCUGUUCUAUAAUCGAUUUUCCCCGAUCAACCUUACCACUUCUCGAACACACAGCCUGUAUACCUCCGUCGCAAGCUUACCCUAUGAAAGCAUAUUUAGUGAGCUUAAAGAUUCUUUACACCCACACGUCAGGUCAAGGUGCAGCCCAUGAGCUGGAAAGAAAUGGGCUACAAUUUCUACUUUAGAACAAACGAAAGACUGCAUGAAACACAGUUACUGAAGGCGGAUUUAGUAGUAAAAAGAAAAUAGAGAGUUCUUUUUAAUUGGGCACUAGGAUGCGUACACACCGCCCGUCACCCUCUUCAAAUAUAAAAUUUUUUAACGUUUAUAACCCCACAUUUUUUACAGAAGAGGCAAGUCGUAACAUGGUAAGCGUACUGGAAAGUGCGCUUGGAACAAAAUGUAGCUUAAUAUAAAGCAUCUUGCUUACACCAAGAACAUGUCUGUAAAAAUCUGACCACUUUGAGCCUAAAACACAGCCCUAUACUACCAAAUGUAACACCCAUUAAUAAAUAACCUAACUAAAACAUUUUCUCAACCAAGUAAAGGCGAUUAAAAAGUUUAUAGGAGCCUCAACAUCAGUACCGCAAGGG